ensembl:lncRNA
GGACAAACGAGAGGACCAGACAGCUGGAACUGUAACUUCAAUACGCACUGGCACUUGUGUUUUUAAGCCUGCUGAGGGAAUUAACGUUCAACAGCUGUGCGUAUUCACACUGCUGAAUGCGUAUUACACAAUAUUCUCAGACAUUCUCCUACGCAGAGCAGCAGUAUUGGCCCAUCGGGUGACUCACGAGGUUUCAACACAAGCCGCCAGAGAAAGGGAGCUAUCAAGAUUUUGGUGAUGAGAGAAACUGUAGCACAUGGUGAAAGAGUAAGACAAACCGGAUAGCUUUUCAGGCUGGAUCAAGAAAAAGCUUUGACAGAAUGAGACAUGAUUUUCCUUUAUUUGAAGUGUUGCAGGUCUACGGAUCUCAGCGCAAUUUGUUCAGUAUAUGGAACAAUGCAAUGAGUAUUCCAACCCUGAGCAGCUGGGAAAGGAGGACGUGAAAACUGAGGAGGGAGCCAGGCCUCUGCUUCUAACUAGCAGACCAAGGACGAAAGUAUGGAGAAGCCAUACAACUACCUCUCAACCUGCCCACCAUCAACUUACACAUAUAAUUUCUGCUCUCACUCAGUGGCAAAAGCCAACCAUGCAGCCACAACUAGAUGGAAAGGGAGCUGGAAAUACAGCCUCUGUCAGGAGAGUCGAUUCGUCUGAUAUCACCACUCUGCGGAAUGGGACACAUUGGCAUUCUGGUAGACAGCCGAUUGUCUGUCAAGAUGAAGGUAGAGUGGAAGCAUGAAAUAUUGAGAGACAACCCAACAGCUUCUAUUACAUAAAUACUUAUUUUUUUGUAUUUUAUUUUGAGAGAGAGUUUUGCUCUGUCUCCCAGGCGACAAUGAAAUGGCAUGAUCAGAGCUUACUGCAGUCACCUCCUGGGCUCAAGCAGUCCUCCUGCCUCAGUCCCCAUGUAGCUGGGACUAUUGGCACAUGCCACCAUGCCUGGCUAAUUUGUUGUAUUUUUAGUAGAGACUGCGUCUUGCCAUGUUGUCCAGGCCAAUCUCAAACUCCUGGACUUAAGUGAUCUGUCUGCCUCAGCCUCCUAACGUGCUGGGAUUAUAGGCAUGAGCCACUGUGCCUGGCCUACAUAAAUACUUUUUAAAAUUCUUUCUCAGUUAUCCACAGAACAAUCCUUUGCCAUAAACAUUAUUAUUGUGUCCCUUUUAUAGAUGUGGAAACUGCACACAGAAAGCUUAAGUAACUUGCCCAAGGUCAGCAGCUUUUGUAACUGGCAGAGCCGCGGUGUUCCCCCAGCGUCUGACUCCACAUCUGCUUCUCCCAACCUCCACUCCACAUUGCUUGAUGAAAAACUUCACGGCACCGCGCUUCAUCAUUUGGCUCAGGUGAGUGUCAGAAGGAACCCUUUGAGAAUGGGCCACACAGAGAAGGAUCGGUGUCUGCCUCACACUCACCAAGCGCUUUUCCAUCAUGGCAUCAAGGAUCAUGGAAACACUACACCAGCCCCGCUUUUCUGGAACAAUGUUGAACCAUGUCUGGGCAAAUAAGAAAAGUUUUGUAUGAAUAUGUCUGUUCAAAUAAAUCCUAACUGUUUCAUUCGGAAGGAAUGACUAGUUCCCAUGACUCACAGGACACCACCCCCAACUCCAAUAUCAAGAAUUUCACCUUAAAAAAAAAUACUAGCACAGAGUGAACAGUGGUUUUCUCAGUUUUUAGCAUAAGUUUUGGCUGUCCCUGGCAUUCUGUAUGCCACACAUGUGCCAAAUGCUGCAGCACAAGACAGGCUAGAGGCAGGAAGGGAGCACAGGAAAGGGGGAGGGCUGGGAGAGGGCUUUUAUUAGGUCAGUGCAAAAGUAAUUAUGGUUUUUGCCAUUAAAAAUAAUGACAACCAACCUGGUACAAUUUAUUGAGAUAGUAGUACAUGCCAGACCUCAUUUUUAAAUUACAAACGAAAAUGCUACUAUCCCUAUAGCUGCCAUUGUUAGAUGAACAGGUUGGAGGAAGAGAAUGCAAAAUGAGUUCAUUCUGAUUCAAAGUUCUUGGUACGUUACCUGAAAAUGUGUUUAUAACUGGUGAAUUUCUUCCCCUAGAAGAGAGAGCCUCACUCAAGCCAUUCACUUCUUUAAUCAGAGCUCGGGAGCUUUCCAAGCUAAUUUAUUUUAAGCAAUUUCCUGGUGAAAAUCUAGCACAGAGGUGGUCAUACCCUCCAUUUGAAGUGCUAGCAAUUCACAUGUAACUCCAGUUGGCUCCCUUGUCUGCAUUUGAUGUACUCUGUGAAAUCGUUUUAAUAUUCCAUAAUCACUUUAAUAUACUGUGUAAUCUCGGACAAGUUACUUAGGUUCUCUGAGCCUCAGAUGCCUCAUCCAUAAAAUGAGGGGGUUGGGCUAGAUCAGUGGUUUUGGAUUACUUUUUCCCCAAACAAAAUUUUAUGUGGCACUCCAAUAUAUAAAAGAGAUCAACACAGAAGUAUUGUAAGUACAGCUGAAGCAUUUAUUAAACAGACCUACUAUGUUUUGGACAUUGUGCUGGGUGCCUGGGAUACAAAGUUGAGGGGAGCACAGCCUCUACUUUCAUGCUACUGGGGGAGACAGACACAUAAACUAGGAUAGAUGCAUGACCCUGAGACAUGUAUCAGAUGCAGAACCGGUGACACACAGGACAUGGUGGAGACAGCAGCUGGAGAAAUAGGGAGAGACCUCGGAGAAGUAACGCAUAGCUGUAUCCCUUGGCCCCUCCCGGGGUUUCCAUGUGGCCAGCGAACAGUUUAGAGCAUGCUGGGAUGGUCCACCUCACGCACCCCUAUCUCUCCACUUGUCUGCUUCAGGGCUAUAGGCUCCAACAGGUGCCAAUCAGAGAGCUGGAGGAAUUGAUGCCCUAGAGGCCAGGCUCAGCUGUUGAGGCAGGAGAAUCAGGGAGUAAAUACCUGAGCCUCUUGUCCCCUGAGGGACAGUUCUAAGGCACAGUCUACGGUUUGUUCACAGCUGUGCUUACCUCAAUAACACACAUUUAUUGACUUCUUCUUGUUCUCUGAUUUGCUCUCCCCUUCCCUCACCACUGCUUUUUGAGAUCACUUCCCAAAUAAAGAACUCACAGCCAAAUUAGUGUCUCAAGCUUUGCUUUCAAGGGAACCUAACCUACAGGAGUGGCCAUGUGACGUGUGAAAGGCAUUUCCGAGGGAGGGGACAGCAGGAAAUGGCAGAGUACACAAGAGCCAUAAGCAGCUCCGUGCUGGCUGGACCACGGACCACCUGAGCUGUUGACUGCGUGGAAUCGGGCACACUUCCGUCCAUCUGCCGUGGACACUCAGCCCACUCCAGCCUUCAACCACUAUGUGCUUAGAGAAAGCAAACGAACGCUAAUGUUUGCUAACCCAGUGCAGACAGAAGAGCACUGCAGUUUUCCAGGGUUAGGAGAGUCAACUGUCUGCUGCUCUUGGAAACGACAUCGUUCCAGGAGCUCCUGUGACUCUAGUGGGUGGCAGUGCCCUUUCUCAUCACAAGUGCCUUGAGUUGUAGGGCGGCUGACACAGCCUAAUCACAUUCCGGUCUUUCCCUGGAAGCAGAGCUCAUUGUGAUUAUUACCUCAUUGCAUUUAAUCUGCAAAUGAGGAGUUAGAAUUUAAAAUGUGUCUUGAAGGGCAGGAGGCGUGGACUAGAAUUUUACAGUAGGAAGGAGUUCCUGCAUUGUACAACUGCAUGGACAUAAUAAAAGACAUGAACAUGAAAAAAUAUAGUAAAUGUGGGAAAGGGAAAAUAAUGAUGGCAAGGUAAGGAUGAGCUAGAAGGGAGGUUAUGCAAAACUUAUGCUACAAGUCCAAUUCAAGGCCGGGCACUGUGGCUCAUGCCUGGAAUCACAGCACUUUGGGAGGCUGAGGCAGGAGAACUGCUUGAGGCCUGAGUUCAAGAACAGCUUGGGCAAUACAGGGAGACCCUGUCUCUACAUUUUUUUGUUUUUAAAUUAACUGAGCAUGGUGGUGCAUGUCUCGUCUUAGCUACUUGGGAGGCUAAGAUGGGAGGAUCGCUUGAGCCCAGGGGGUUGAGGCUGCAAUGAGCCGUGAUUGUAUAUACCACUGCACUCCAGCUUGGGUGACAAUGCAAGACUCUGUCUCAAAACAAAACAAGUUUUAUUCAUUUGCUAGAGGGAGGCCACAGAAUUGGUUAUAACCUUUCUAAUCGCUACCAUGAAAAGGAAAACACCACCAGUUACAAUAUUUACAGAAUCAACAGGAAAAAAGAAACUAGUCACUAAGGACAAGCACAACUAUUUGUGAUACUGAGAUGAGAGUGAAAUUCCUCCAUGUGACUUAAGUAGAGAGGCUGUUGCCUGAUUUAACGAAGAGCAUCUAUAAACCUGUCCUUCUGGGAAACAAAAUGACGAAGCGCACAAAGCUGUUUCUUAG